UACGGAGGUUGCGAGCGUUAUCCGGAUUUAUUGGGUUUAAAGGGUGCGUAGGCGGAUCGUUAAGUCAGUGGUCAAAUUGAGGGGCUCAACCCCUUCCCGCCAUUGAAACUGGCGCUCUUGAGUGGAAGAGAAGUAUGCGGAAUGCGUGGUGUAGCGGUGAAAUGCAUAGAUAUCACGCAGAACCCCGAUUGCGAAGGCAGCAUGCCGGCUUCCGACUGACGCUGAAGCACGAAAGCGUGGGGAUCGAACAGG
rnacentral:rRNA from 1 species